rnacentral:rRNA from 1 species
UACAGAGGUCUCAAGCGUUGUUCGGAUUCAUUGGGCGUAAAGGGUGCGUAGGUGGCGCCGUAAGUCGGGUGUGAAAUUUCGGAGCUUAACUCCGAAACUGCAUUCGAUACUGCGGUGCUUGAGGACUGGAGAGGAGACUGGAAUUCAUGGUGUAGCAGUGAAAUGCGUAGGAGAUCAUGAGGAAGACCAGUGGCGAAGGCGGGUCUCUGGACAGUUCCUGACACUGAGGCACGAAGGCCAGGGGAGCAAACGGG